UUCGAUCUUACCACCUCUCUUUUCUUGUGUAACCAUUUGGUUUUCGAAACUUAUUGAUUGUCUGAUCUGGAUUCACACCGUAGAAAACCAGCCAUGGAUUUUUAGUGCUAUUUACUAAAUAGGACUAAAUUUUGAUCAGGACUCAAUCCUGAGACUCUGGUUAAUAGUGAACAGAACUUUUACCAUUCUACUUCAUCCCAUGUGGUAUUUGUACAAAAAUUUAAUGUGAAUUGAAGUGAUAUGUGCUUAAGCUUAGAUCUUUAGAACAUCCAGAGUGUCAUGAAUCGCUUUAAAUCUUAGUGGUUUGAAAAUUUUGAUCUACUGGUCCUCAGAAGUGGUACCUAGCCUUACUACAGUACCUAAUGUUAUUUCACAGGUGUCUGGAGAGGGUAUAGGAUGGUAGAGUCAUAGAGGGGUUAUUUCCGAUAGACAGUCAGAACCAAGACUCUCUUAACUUACUAUGGUCAAGUAAUUAAAUGAAUGAAGUAGGAUUAUAUAUAAAUGAACCUUGGUCAAAUGAUAAAUUUUAUGUAAAUAAUCAUGGACUUAUUAAGUUGAUGCUAAUACUUGGUGCUGAUAAGUAUUUUUCCUCUAAUAAUGCUACAUGAUAGCAAUCAUAUUCGUAUAUGUAUGUUCUCCAAAGACAGUUACCAAAUUGUAUGUAAACAAUUUCGCCUACACUAACUGUAAUUAUUCAGAUGAUCAGGGCAUGAAGCGGUAUAAGCUUUUGAAACUUAAAUUGUAGUAUUCUUACAUGUUAAAAGUCCUUGUUAGAAACUUCAACGUUACACGAUUAAUCAUUAUAGGAAGAUGCUGGCACCAAGGACAGAGUAUGUAGAAGCUCG
rnacentral:lncRNA from 1 species